UCCGGUGGACUUGGGGCUCUGCUGACGGA
rnacentral:piRNA from 1 species